CCCGCUGAACUUAAGCAUAUCAAUAAGCGGAGGAAAAGAAACUAACAAGGAUUCCCCUAGUAACUGCGAGUGAAGCGGGAAAAGCUCAAAUUUAAAAUCUGGUGGCCUUUGGCCAUCCGAGUUGUAAUUUAGAGAAGCGUCUUCCGCGCUGGACCGUGCACAAGUCUCCUGGAAUGGAGCGUCGUAGAGGGUGAGAAUCCCGUCUUUGGCACGGACGCCCAGUGCUUCUGUGAUGCGCUCUCGAAGAGUCGAGUUGUUUGGGAAUGCAGCUCAAAAUGGGUGGUGAACUCCAUCUAAAGCUAAAUAUUGGCGAGAGACCGAUAGCGAACAAGUACCGUGAGGGAAAGAUGAAAAGCACUUUGGAAAGAGAGUGAAACAGUACGUGAAAUUUUGUGAAGGGAAACGCUUGAAGUCAGUCGCGUCGUCCGAGACUCAGCCUCGCCUCGGCUUGGUGUACUUCUCGGACGACGGGUCAGCAUCAAUUUUGCCCCUUGGAUAAUGGCGAGGGAAAUGUGACACCUUUGCGGGUGUGUUAUAGUCUCUAGUCGCAUGCAAGGGUCGGGAUUGAGGAACUCAGCACGCGCCUUCGGGCGUCGGGGUUCGCCCACGAUACGUGCUUAGGAUGUUGGCGUAAUGGCUUUAAACGACCCGUCUUGAAACACGG
rnacentral:rRNA from 1 species